UCUUUCUUUUUCCUAAUAUGA
rnacentral:piRNA from 1 species